AUCUGAUUCAUUAAUUGGAAAAUGUGUAUAGUGGAAGAAGAAGACCUCACCUGUGAAUGUCAAUGUUGCCAACAAGUUCUGUUCCUUUUCUGCUUUGUGAGGAAGUGUCAACAGACCAGAAUUUAAAAGGUGACAAACUGUGAAGAAUUAAAACUUCCAAUUUAACAGAUGAGCAACUGCAAAUAAGAGAAUCUCAGACAAACACUAUUUUAAUGAAAGGUGACAUGCCAGAGAUAAGACAGUUUUUUCCUCUCUCUUCAUCAGGAGUGAACUCAGUUGUGCAGUUGGACUGUGUUGGUAGGCACACCUUGUGGCACUGCAAAGAAGGCACCCUGCCAUGUAUAUCUGUCCUACCUCGAGGCCACUCAGACUCUUACAGAGAGACCAGGACUUGAGAAGACAGGACCAUGCUAAUACAGCGCUUUACAACUGUUAUGCAGCUGGAAAACAUCUGGCACUACGCAGAGCAUGAAUGUGAGCUCCCAACCCCACCAGCCAGUCACACCAGCAUAUCUAGAGUGGUGUACCACUGCUGCUUCAGCUGCCCAUCCUUCUGCCAGUGACUGGAUGGAUGACUCGAGUCCCAGAAUCUUCUCAAAAAUAUGAGAAGAAUCAUGUGUUUUGAUACUUCCAAAGCUAAAAAGGCAAGACCUGCAGCUCGACCACAUACCCUGGAUAGAUUGAUGUCAACCCCAAGUUCUGUUGGUGUAUGUCCAUCUGCCUUCCAGAAGCUCAGUGGCUC